rnacentral:lncRNA from 1 species
UCUGAUUUCCAAUAAAUUUCGAUUCAAUACAAUUUGAAACAAGCGAGAAUUCUCUAAACACAAAAAUAUCCAACCAUACUAUAAUCGCAUAUCAUGUACUAAGAAAUAACAAAACUAAUUUAUUUUAUGUCUAACAAAUUCUCAAGUCUCCCAUUGUCGAAAUUCCUCAACGUUGCUUAACUGCACAACUCAAUUAGGUUCUUGGAUGCGAAGUGCUACAAUAGUUUACUAGAAUAGGCUGAAAAUAGCAACAAGUGUUGUUAACUGGUGCCCAAAUAAAUUAAAAUAAAAUUAAGAAAAUGAAAUAAAUUAAAGAAUCAAUUACGAAAACAUUCACUUACUCGAUAUCCGCUACCUGUAAGCAAAAAAAAGGGUAUUUAGUUAAACUUGUUUACUACAAUGUAAUUAUGCUAAUAUCAAUGAAAUGUGAUGCUAUGCAGCUGAACGCGUACAACAUGAAUCACCUGAAACCAUAUCAUCCGAUACACUCACUAGCUCACUAUAUGUGAAUUUUCCUAGCUAUAGAAACCAUAUAAAUCUCACCAGAUGAAUCUUCUUUUUAGAGAUUUCUUAGCGAAAUUAGAAUACUCUGUCUAAGUUCAUGUGCAUCUACAGAUCCAUCCUUUGUCGCAAUUCUCCUUUCGGAUUUGAACAACUUCUACCUUUAGUUUCUCAUUCUCUAUUUUCUGCUUAAGAAGAAGCAGAUUCGCUCAAAUUAGUAAAAAAAAAAAGCACUUUUUUUGUGUGGAAUUGCAUAUCAACAAAUUACCUCUGAAUUUAUUGAAAUGUACUAAAAACAAGAAAAUAAUAUAAAUCAUGGCAAGAUGAUAAAUGAAAAAAAAGCUUCAAGAUAUCAUCAAACUUAUAAGCAAAUACCUUCAAAGUUGUCUGUUUCUUUAUCUGCAUUAAUGAAAUCCACAACACCUAUCAUUCAACGCCUGCUAUAAUAUAAUAAAUACUCAAAUGCAAGAAAUUGUGGUAAUAGACAUAGCUCUUGAUAAUGAAAUAAAUAAUUUCCCAAGCAAAAUGACAGAGGAGAAAGAAUACAAACGUGAAUCUCAAAACCCUUCACACCAGAAUGUGCCAUCAGUUCCAUUAUGCUGCAUUUAAAUUGUAGAUUUAGUUACAAGUAAAAUCAUUAAGAAAUAUAAAAAACUAGAUUAAUUCAUGCCUGGACUACAUAUACACUUAUCCUCAAAAUUACAAAUUCAAGAAUUAAAAUUAAAAAUUAAAAACAAAUACUGAAAUCUGACACAUAGUCGAGAAUUAAAUUUUAAAAUCAAUGGAUUUCCGAAUCUCUAAAUUCAUUUCAAUUCAUAAAAUCAAUUGACUCUCCAAUCCAAAUUAUUGAAAAAAAAUUGAAUUUUAGUAACAAUUUAAAAUUUAAGAGAACACAUGAGGUAAAAAAGGAGAAAUUACCCGAAUUGAAGAAACCGGCUGUGGUGGUGAAGGCUGGUUUUUCAUAAGGUCUGAUUUCUGCGAGAGAUAGACAGAAGAGGUACUGGUGGUGGCGGCUCGUGCAGUGCUGGCGUGGUGGUGGCUGGUCCUUGAUAAGAGCGAAACUCGGGGAAAUAGAUUGGCCGUUGUGCGAUGCUGGUGGUGCAGGCGGUGGUCGAAAUUCUAGAAAGACAGACGAGAACGUGGGAGAAAAAUGCAGGGAAAAGAGGGAUCGAGGGUGAGAGGGGAUAAAACGUUCCG